rnacentral:tRNA from 1 species
AUUUUAAUAAUUAAACUCUUUAAAAUAUUUACAUUGAAGAUGUAAUUUUAAUUGGAGUA